rnacentral:rRNA from 1 species
GAUGAACGCUGGCGGCGUGCCUAAUACAUGCAAGUCGAGCGAACGGACUAGAAGCUUGCUUCUCUGAUGUUAGCGGCGGACGGGUGAGUAACACGUGGAUAACCUACCUAUAAGACUGGGAUAACUUCGGGAAACCGGAGCUAAUACCGGAUAAUAUUUUGAACCGCAUGGUUCAAAAGUGAAAGACGGUCUUGCUGUCACUUAUAGAUGGAUCCGCGCUGCAUUAGCUAGUUGGUAAGGUAACGGCUUACCAAGGCAACGAUGCAUAGCCGACCUGAGAGGGUGAUAGGCCACACUGGAACUGAGACACGGUCCAGACGCCUACGGGAGGCAGCAGUAGGGAAUCUUCCGCAAUGGGCGAAAGCCUGACGGAGCAACGCCGCGUGAGUGAUGAAGGUCUUCGGAUCGUAAAACUCUGUUAUUAGGGAAGAACAUAUGUGUAAGUAACUGUGCACAUCUUGACGGUACCUAAUCAGAAAGCCACGGCUAACUACGUG